rnacentral:misc_RNA from 1 species
UUUCUUUUUUUUUUUUUUUUAAGUAUUUCUUUCGUUGAAAGAAGGGGUUUUUCGUUAAUUAUGUGUAAGGAUGAGGCCUUCUUUUAGUCUCACUAAAUUUUCAAUGGAUUGUAAUCUACCCUCUCUUUCCAAAACUUUAUGAAAAAUUCUUGUUUAUAUCUGAAUUAUUGUGAAUUCAAAAUAUAAUAUAUUUAAUAAGAUUCCCG